AUUGAACGCUGGCGGAAUGCUUUACACAUGCAAGUCGAACGGCAGCACGGGUGCUUGCACCUGGUGGCGAGUGGCGAACGGGUGAGUAAUAUAUCGGAACGUAUCCAAUAAUGGGGGAUAACUAGCCGAAAGGUUAGCUAAUACCGCAUACACCCUGAGGGGGAAAGCUGGGGAUCGUAAGACCUAGCGUUGAUGGAGCGGCCGAUAUCUGAUUAGCUAGUUGGUGGGGUAAGAGCCUACCAAGGCGACGAUCAGUAGCUGGUCUGAGAGGACGACCAGCCACACUGGAACUGAGACACGGUCCAGACUCCUACGGGAGGCAGCAGUGGGGAAUUUUGGACAAUGGGGGCAACCCUGAUCCAGCCAUUCCGCGUGAGUGAAGAAGGCCUUCGGGUUGUAAAGCUCUUUCGCAAGGGAAGAAAACUCGAUCUCUAAUAUAGGUUGAGGCUGACGGUACCUUGAUAAGAAGCACCGGCUAACUACGUGCCAGCCGCCGCAGUAA
rnacentral:rRNA from 1 species